rnacentral:sRNA from 1 species
UCUCCUGAUUUUGCCGACAACAUGCGCC